GAGGGGGUUAACAAUACAUCUGCCAGGGUUUUAUUGUCACCCCGCAAUCUUAACCCUCGACACUGUCUGUUUCCUUGGCCAGGUGGUGAUGGCACAGGAGCGCAGAUUCAGGUUUGCGGUUACAAACAGGAAGUGGCCAGGAAUGGACAGAGAUUGCAGAGGAGCCUGGAAAAUGCUAUGAGGAGAAAAGGAAAGGAGGAAAGGGAUUGAGAUAAGAAAACCUGUUUGCAAAUGAAAACUUCAAGUGUGGCACACUGGAGGAAUGAGAUGCUCUCUUCCUGCAGAGAAUGGGAAUAAUUCUCCCUUGCCAAAAUAUGCUGCCUCACCAAAACCCAACAACAGCUACAAGUUCAAGUGUGAGCCGCCAGAGGGCUGUGAAAAGGAUCCACCCAAGUCUCCACCCAGGCAUCUCCUGGAUUCUCAAGAGCUCCUCUGACAGUGCCCCAAGAUCCUGGUACCAGCCCCAGACUCUUCCACAGAAGCUACCGGAGAAGACAUUUUUCUUCUGCAGGAAGCUUUGACCUCUAGAACGCACCAAGACUCUUCCCAGACUCUGCUGCAGCUGUUUGAGCUCUGCUUUCACUGUCUGAG